AGGGAUGUAGCUCAAAAUGGUAGAGCAACUCAGCUUGUGUUGUAGCUGAGAAGAUCAAGGUUCGAAUCCUUGCAUCCCUG
rnacentral:tRNA from 1 species